rnacentral:rRNA from 1 species
GAUGAACGCUGGCGGCGUGCCUAACACAUGCAAGUCGAGCGGCAGCGAGGGGUGCUUGCACCCUGUCGGCGAGCGGCGGACGGCUGAGUAACGCGUGGGAACGUGCCCCAAAGUGAGGAAUAACUGCCCGAAAGGGUAGCUAAUACCGCAUAUUAUCUUCGGAUCAAAGGAUUUAUCCGCUUUGGGAGCGGCUCGCGUCGGAUUAGGUAGUUGGUGAGGUAAUGGCUCACCAAGCCGACGAUCCGUAGCUGGUCUGAGAGGAUGACCAGCCAGACUGGAACUGAGACACGGUCCAGACUCCUACGGGAGGAAGCAGUGAGGAAUCUGCCACAAUGGGCGAAAGACUGAUGGAGCAACGCCGCGUGCAGGACGAAGGCCUUCGGGUUGUAAACUGCUUUUAUAAGUGAGGAAUAUGACGGUAACUUAUGAAUAAGGAUCGGCUAACUACGUG